rnacentral:rRNA from 1 species
GACGAACGCUGGCGGCGUGCCUAAUACAUGCAAGUCGAGCGGACCAAAGGGAGCUUGCUCCUGGAGGUUAGCGGCGAACGGGUGAGUAACACGUGGGCAACCUGCCUGUAAGACUGGGAUAACAUCGAGAAAUCGGUGCUAAUACCGGAUAAUAAAAAGAACUGCAUGGUUCUUUUUUGAAAGAUGGUUUCGGCUAUCACUUACAGAUGGGCCCGCGGCGCAUUAGCUAGUUGGUGGGGUAACGGCUCACCAAGGCGACGAUGCGUAGCCGACCUGAGAGGGUGAUCGGCCACACUGGGACUGAGACACGGCCCAGACUCCUACGGGAGGCAGCAGUAGGGAAUCUUCCGCAAUGGACGAAAGUCUGACGGAGCAACGCCGCGUGAGUGAUGAAGGUUUUCGGAUCGUAAAACUCUGUUGUUAGGGAAGAAUAAGUGCCGUUCGAAAGGGCGGCACCUUGACGGUACCUAACGAGAAAGCCACGGCUAACUACGUGCCAGCAGCCGCGGUAA